AAAUUGAAGAGUUUGAUCAUGGCUCAGAUUGAACGCUGGCGGCAGGCCUAACACAUGCAAGUCGAACGGUAACAGGAAACAGCUUGCUGUUUCGCUGACGAGUGGCGGACGGGUGAGUAAUGUCUGGGAAACUGCCUGAUGGAGGGGGAUAACUACUGGAAACGGUAGCUAAUACCGCAUAACGUCGCAAGACCAAAGAGGGGGACCUUCGGGCCUCUUGCCAUCAGAUGUGCCCAGAUGGGAUUAGCUAGUAGGUGGGGUAACGGCUCACCUAGGCGACGAUCCCUAGCUGGUCUGAGAGGAUGACCAGCCACACUGGAACUGAGACACGGUCCAGACUCCUACGGGAGGCAGCAGUGGGGAAUAUUGCACAAUGGGCGCAAGCCUGAUGCAGCCAUGCCGCGUGUAUGAAGAAGGCCUUCGGGUUGUAAAGUACUUUCAGCGGGGAGGAAGGGAGUAAAGUUAAUACCUUUGCUCAUUGACGUUACCCGCAGAAGAAGCACCGGCUAACUCCGUGCCAGCAGCCGCGGUAAUACGGAGGGUGCAAGCGUUAAUCGGAAUUACUGGGCGUAAAGCGCACGCAGGCGGUUUGUUAAGUCAGAUGUGAAAUCCCCGGGCUCAACCUGGGAACUGCAUCUGAUACUGGCAAGCUUGAGUCUCGUAGAGGGGGGUAGAAUUCCAGGUGUAGCGGUGAAAUGCGUAGAGAUCUGGAGGAAUACCGGUGGCGAAGGCGGCCCCCUGGACGAAGACUGACGCUCAGGUGCGAAAGCGUGGGGAGCAAACAGGAUUAGAUACCCUGGUAGUCCACGCCGUAAACGAUGUCGACUUGGAGGUUGUGCCCUUGAGGCGUGGCUUCCGGAGCUAACGCGUUAAGUCGACCGCCUGGGGAGUACGGCCGCAAGGUUAAAACUCAAAUGAAUUGACGGGGGCCCGCACAAGCGGUGGAGCAUGUGGUUUAAUUCGAUGCAACGCGAAGAACCUUACCUGGUCUUGACAUCCACGGAAGUUUUCAGAGAUGAGAAUGUGCCUUCGGGAACCGUGAGACAGGUGCUGCAUGGCUGUCGUCAGCUCGUGUUGUGAAAUGUUGGGUUAAGUCCCGCAACGAGCGCAACCCUUAUCCUUUGUUGCCAGCGGUCCGGCCGGGAACUCAAAGGAGACUGCCAGUGAUAAACUGGAGGAAGGUGGGGAUGACGUCAAGUCAUCAUGGCCCUUACGACCAGGGCUACACACGUGCUACAAUGGCGCAUACAAAGAGAAGCGACCUCGCGAGAGCAAGCGGACCUCAUAAAGUGCGUCGUAGUCCGGAUUGGGAGUCUGCAACUCGACUCCAUGAAGUCGGAAUCGCUAGUAAUCGUGGAUCAGAAUGCCACGGUGAAUACGUUCCCGGGCCUUGUACACACCGCCCGUCACACCAUGGGAGUGGGUUGCAAAAGAAGUAGGUAGCUUAACCUUCGGGAGGGCGCUUACCACUUUGUGAUUCAUGACUGGGGUGAAGUCGUAACAAGGUAACCGUAGGGGAACCUGCGGUUGGAUCACCUCCUUACCUUAAAGAAGC
rnacentral:rRNA from 1 species